GUGCUUGCUUCAGCAGCACAUACACUAAAAUUGGAACGAUACAGAGAAGAUUAGCAUGGCCCCUGUGCAAGGAUGACACGCAAAUUCGUUAAAUGUUCCAUAUUUUU
ensembl:snRNA U6 U6 spliceosomal RNA